UCAUGAUGAUUAGACAUUUAGAAGUAAUUGCCGUUUUUUGUGUUCAGUCAAUCUGUGGUCAAGACGGUCGAUGUGACGGUCCGCUGAUGUGCUGCCGAGGAUUUAAAUACAUUGAAGAAGAAAAUAAAUGUUUGCCUUGUCAGUAUCCUACAUUUGGAUUAGAAUGCAAAGAAAACUGCACAUGUCCUAAGGAGAAUUGUAACAUGUUCAAGGGAUGUUA